UUUACCGAUUACACCGUUGGGGUUCUCGACGGAGAAAAACUAAGCUUUCGUUAAACAAAAUGCAAGGAACUAAUGAACCUCCGACUAUUUCGGGUAGAUUGUUGUACAAGAAUCAAUGGACAAAACUCCUGUAUAGAUGAACAUGAUCACUCGGUUCCAGGCCCUUUGGUGUUCCAGUGGUUCCGAGCCGAGUUGGUAUAGCAUGAUGGACACACUUUCCGGAUCCCUCGAAGAAUAAUCGCCAGUGUAAACCUUGCUGCUUGGCGAUUAGCAUGUUCUAAGCAUUGGAUUAGAUGUUGUUGGUAAGCAUCCCAAAUUACUGACCCGUACUCCAGUACUAGGUGAACUAGCUUUUGUAUGCCUGGCUCUUGAUGACCUGCGGACAUUCUCGUCACCUUGGUAGAAGUUGAUUGAUGUGCUCGCGCCAUGACAGGUCUAUGCUGAUUGUGAUUCCAAGGAAGGGAAGUGUCACCACGUUUGGGAUCACCGGAGCUCUGGGUGUGGUGUGGCUGUUUGACGUCCAGUUGUCCGAUUAUCUGAAAUAUGUUCCCAUCUUCAAAAAACGAUUCGGGGAUCAACAUUAACGAAAGCCCUGCAAUAAUGCUGUCCUGUGUUAGUACAUAAUCAACUUAUACAAAGACCAGUGUCACACAAAGAAAGAAGAAUAGAGUGAUGUUAUGAAAUGUUGUAAAUAAAAACUGUUUGCUGGU
rnacentral:misc_RNA from 1 species